GAGAACGGAGGUUUGCCCGAGGUCGCAGAGACCGUUCGAGGAUGCCUCUCACAUCUCCUGACCUUCUGUGACGCAGGGACGCCCACGCUCAUCAGGGCUUGUAAGUCUGGGAGGGCCUCCAGGAGGAAGUGUGCGCGCGUGCUUGCGCAUGCGCCGCCGGGGGAGGGCGGGAGAGCCUCAGGUGGCGAAGGGGCGAGGGGCGAGGGCGGGGCGGCGUGGGAACCGGCAGGACGGCCCGGGGGGCCCGAGGCGCGGGGAGGGGGCGCCGCGCUUACCGCAAGGUUCCGCCCCUCGGCGGGCGCAGACAAUGGGGUCGCUGUGCCCGGCCGCCCCCUCCCCUCGCUCGGCGGCCCGCGCCCGCCCCCUCUCCCCAAAGCUGCUUUCAAUUUAAACGCCUCCAACCAGCGGGCGCUGCCCCGGGGGGCGCGACCGCAGCGCCGAGCGCCCCUGUAAUUUCCGCGGGGAGCUGACCGGCUCAAACACGGCCCCGCGGUGCCCCGACCGCAGGCCCCGAGACCGGAGACGGCGCCCAGACAGCCUUGCCCGGGUCGUGGGAGCGCCGCUGGGGCGGCCUCCUCGCGCGGCGCCCCGCCGCCUCCUCCAGGCAGCCCACCGCCACCCCGGGGAGCCGCUCCUCCGGGAAGCCUGCGUGCCUUCCCCAAAGUGAUGCUCCCUUGGGGCCCCUCACACCUCUGCAAGCUCAGCCCCCUUUGGGGGAGCGGGGAGGAGACGACGGGGUCAGGAGUGUCCGUUCUCUUAAUGUGCACUGUGUCUCCCGCAUCAGACUGGAGGCGACCUGAGGGCAGGGGUUCUUUCUUUGCAGACUGGGGGAACGUGAGUGAACUGACCUAUAGUUCCUGCUUGGCCUGCUGAGAAACUGGGAAGAAGGCCCUGCCUGAAUGGUCUCAGAGGAGUGGGUGGGUGUGGACACAGUGAAUUUGCCUGCAGAUCCCCUGGCUGUACCCAGGCGGGGCCAAAAGGGUAGCUGCACGCGAGGAAGAAUUUUCCGAGUGCUGGUUAAGAGGCUCCAGGGACUUGUCCAGGUUGGGCCCUGAGUGGUGCCGGUGAACAUACGUGCCAAGGCUCCCUUCUGGCCUAAAGCACUUCCUCUGUGCCCUGCUGCUUUCUGCCUAGAAGUUGUGCCCACCUACCCUCCCUCCCCAGAACUUUGGAGGGGACGUGUUUUGCUAGUACAUGAGGGCCAGGGCCCGUGCUGGCACAGGAAGUAGACCGGUCCCUGCCCUCAUGGAGCAGCUCCUGGGACUCAGAGGAACACAAGCCGCCUGUGCCCAAGAGAUUUCCAAGCAUAAACGGAGGUCAAUGCCCCCCUCGCCUGCCCCGGAGGUGCCAAGGUGGUAAUUAGGCUUGGGGGUGGGUCCUGGAAGGGUGGGGGUGGCGUGGCCAUUAUCCCCAGGAGCUGAGCUGGGCAGGAGCUGUGUGGUCCAGGCAAAUGGGUGGUUUGUAGGUGGUCUGGAGAAUG